UGUAUACUCCCUCCGUUCGGAAUUACUUGUCUCAAAAAUGGAUGUAUCUAGAACUAAAAUACGUCUAAAUACAUCAAUUUCUGCGACAAGUAAUUCCGAACGGAGGGAGUAGUAU
rfam:Triticum aestivum genome assembly, contig: Triticum_aestivum_CS42_TGACv1_scaffold_031131_1BL